CACAUGCAAGUCGAGCGGUUGACGGGAGCUUGCUCCCUGAUUCAGCGGCGGACGGGUGAGUAAUGCCUAGGAAUCUGCCUAUUAGUGGGGGACAACGUUUCGAAAGGAACGCUAAUACCGCAUACGUCCUACGGGAGAAAGCAGGGGACCUUCGGGCCUUGCGCUAAUAGAUGAGCCUAGGUCGGAUUAGCUAGUUGGUGGGGUAAAGGCUCACCAAGGCGACGAUCCGUAACUGGUCUGAGAGGAUGAUCAGUCACACUGGAACUGAGACACGGUCCAGACUCCUACGGGAGGCAGCAGUGGGGAAUAUUGGACAAUGGGCGAAAGCCUGAUCCAGCCAUGCCGCGUGUGUGAAGAAGGUCUUCGGAUUGUAAAGCACUUUAAGUUGGGAGGAAGGGUUGUAGAUUAAUACUCUGCAAUUUUGACGUUACCGACAGAAUAAGCACCGGCUAACUCUGUGCCAGCAGCCGCGGUAAUACAGAGGGUGCAAGCGUUAAUCGGAAUUACUGGGCGUAAAGCGCGCGUAGGUGGUUUGUUAAGUUGGAUGUGAAAGCCCCGGGCUCAACCUGGGAACUGCAUCCAAAAC
rnacentral:rRNA from 2 species